rnacentral:piRNA from 1 species
AUUCUACACCUUGUCCAAGGAGUCUAAGUCA